UUCUGCCACCGAAUACAUUAGCAUGGGAUAAUGGAAUAGGACCCUGUCCUCCUAUUUUCAGUUGGUUUUGGCAGCGCGAGGACUAGGGUAAUGAUUAAUAGGGAUAGUUGGGGGCAUUAAUAUUUAAUUGUCAGAGGUGAAAUUCUUGGAUUUAUGAAAGAUUAACUUCUGCGAAAGCAUCUGCCAAGGAUGUUUUCAUUAAUCAAGAACGAAAGUUAGGGGAUCGAAGACGAUCAGAUACCGUCGUAGUCUUAACCAUAAACGAUGCCGACCAGCGAUUAGGAGACGUUGAAUACAAAACACCACCAUCGGUUGCGGUCGUCCUUGGCGUCUCGGUUUCGGCCGGGGCGCGGGGAUGGCUUAGCCCGGUGGCACCGGUGAAUGACUCCCUAGCAGCUUGUGAGAA
rnacentral:rRNA from 1 species